AUAUGGAUUCGAUGCGAGCGAAGCCGCGGGAAAAAGCUAGUAUAACAUAAAUUUGAAAUUUUAAAGUUCAGUUUCCUUAGAAAACUUCUGAUCGGGCAAUCUGUUGUAACGAAUCUAUGCAAAACUGGCCAUCUUUGAAAGGUCCAUUGGCAAUUAAAAGUAUAAGUCAUCUAAUUACCGCUCGCCGAUUAUUUAUUUUACUACAUUUCUUGGAGCAACCAUUAAAAUCGAUCCCGUUUAAAUAUCAAUAUACAUAAUUACUUGAAAAUCGGAUAACGCUGUCGAAUCACUUACUACUGCCAUCUUCAGAUGCAACAUCACUUUUCGAAUCUUCUAUGCCGUCUCCUGUGCAGCUCGACACCGGGCUUGAUGUUAAUAAUUCUACUCGUGAUUGCACUUCAAUAUUGAUCUCACUUUCAACUUCUAAAUGUUCAACAUUUUUACAUUGUGUCACAGGUUCUGGGGCAUUUUUAUUCGAAUCACUUAACGCCGAAAAAUAUUCACUACAUUUGCCUGUAUUUGGUUUCGAUAAUAUAUUAUCAAUUGAAAAAUUAUUCUGAAAACAACGAA